UACGUAGGGAGCGAGCGUUGUCCGGAAUUACUGGGCGUAAAGGGCGCGUAGGCGGGAAUUUAAGUAGGGUGUGAAAACUCCGGGCUCAACUUGGAGACUGCACUUUAAACUGGAUUUCUUGAGGGCAGGAGAGGAAAGUGGAAUUCCUAGUGUAGCGGUGAAAUGCGUAGAUAUUAGGAGGAACACCAGUGGCGAAGGCGACUUUCUGGACUGUACCUGACGCUGAGGCGCGAAAGCGUGGGGAGCGAACAGG
rnacentral:rRNA from 1 species